UGUAAAUUUCGUACGUAUUUUAAGAACUACUAAGGUAAGAAAAGCAUCAAUUACAAAAACAAUCAGGACAACGCCAGCAAGGCCACUAAGUUUGAAAACAGAGGGAAUGAUUCAUUCUUGAAAAGUACGCAUCUGUAAUAUUUAUAGGCGUCCACUCUAUUUCAUAUGAGAUGUCAGAGCAGCCUCAUUGCCAUAUACAAAGGUGUCUCCAUUUUCACUGAAAUAAGCGUGCAUGAAAAACGGCUCUAGAGAAUAAUGAGGCAAUGCCACAUUUGCUGCCGCCAACGCCCACAAUACCAACAGCUAUUCGCUGCCACUGAAUGCUGCAGAAUGCUUUACGACACUAGCUGACGAAUGGCAAUAUGUAAAUUGCGUUCUGCGUGCCUUGCCGAGAGAGGCAAAAAGCCAAGUAGCUACCAGAAAAUGGUAAAAAGCAUGCAUGCAGACACGAAGGUGACAACAAAGCGCGGAAUACUUUGAAGCGACUGAGCGAUGGCUUACUUCGCCGAAGAAUGAUAUGCUUUAAUAACCAUAUUUCUGAAAGUUAUCUAACACACGUGGGAGUAGUAGCGAAAAAAUUAAGAGCGGUUGUAAAUUGCAGACUUGUAUUUAUACUAUUGCAACAUGUUGCUACAAAGUUAAAUAGUUUUGUUCAUUUAACGGUUGUUUGUAUCACCUAAAACUAAUCGAGUAGAUAUAGGGUUAUAUAUUAUAUAUGCUCAGGAAUGUUUGAAUGCCAAAAAAAUGGCCAAGAAAACUAUACCUUUAUAAAUUGCCUGUUUAUGUCUGAUGAGGCAUAUUUUAAUCUAAACGGAAAUGUCAACAAGCAAAAUUGGCGUAAAUGGAUCAAAUCAAAUCCAGAGAUAAUCCACGGGAAGGAACUUCACCCAGAACGAGUCACUGUGUGGUGCGCAGUUUUAUUGAGUUGUCGGGCUAUACUUCUUUGAAGAAAACGGGUGUGGCCUCGCUCUCUAACAGGUUUAAUGACCGCUACAGACGCUGCAAAAAUGGAUGAAAUCGGAUGAUAGACGAUGGGCGUGUCCCCGCUCACAUUUAGGUGAAACCCCAUAUCUUAGGAUCUAUGCGACCGAUAUCCAAAAAUUUGGAUCGAUGGUAUUGUACUUAAGGCUAGUACCCUAAGAAGGGGAUAGACGUUAUUUUGUUUUGUGUCGAGCUCUCGAUCAGGCAAAAGAGUAAGUAAAUUACUAUAAGGGUAGGCAUCAUGUCAACCAGGAACCAACGGUUUUUUGCAGCCUCAAUCCACCGGCCUGUAUUACGGAGUUUGAAAAAUGACACCUUUGAGUGGGCAGAUAUCCAUCCGUGUACACCCAUAACAUAUCACACCAACUGCUCCACCAAUUCGAAAGAAAUUGGUUCAUUAUGUAAUCUUGUGUAUGCUACAGUAUCAGAAUGAGUGAAAUUGCUAUUCAAACAUACCUAUUUACUAUAAGACAGAAUUUAUAAUUUCAUCAGAUUCUUUCAUUUUACAUUACUUAAAUCUGGCAACAAUAAGUGUAUAUAAGCUGUAUCUUUACUCAUCCAAAAACGGUUGGAAUUGAAAUAAAACUUUUCAAGAUCCUCAGAUAUCGAA